rnacentral:rRNA from 1 species
AUUGAACGCUAGCGGGAUGCCUUACACAUGCAAGUCGAACGGAGUGGCGAACGGGUGAGUAAUGUAACGGAACGUGCCCAGUAGCGGGGGAUAACUACGCGAAAGCGUAGCUAAUACCGCAUAAUAUGGGAGCGGCCGAUAUCGGAUUAGAUAGUUGGUGGGGUAACGGCUCACCAAGGCGACGAUCCGUAGCUGGUUUGAGAGGACGACCAGCCACACUGGGACGUAGACACGGCCCAGCCUCCUCCUGGAGGCUGCAGUGGGGAAUUUUGGACAAUGGGGGCAACCCUGUUCCAGCCAGCCCGCGUGUGCGAUGAAGGCCUUCGGGUUGUAAUGCACUUUUGGCAGGAAAGCGGUACCUGCAGAAUAAGCACCGGCUAACUACGUGCCAGCCGCCGCGGUAAUUC